GAUGAACGCUGGCGGCGUGCCUAAUACAUGCAAGUCGAGCGAAUGGAUUAAGAGCUUGCUCUUAUGAAGUUAGCGGCGGACGGGUGAGUAACACGUGGGUAACCUGCCCAUAGGACUGGGAUAACUCCGGGAAACCGGGGCUAAUACCGGAUAAUAUUUUGAACUGCAUGGUUCAAAAUUGAAAGGCGGCUUCGGCUGUCACUUAUGGAUGGACCCGCGUCGCAUUAGCUAGUUGGUGAGGUAACGGCUCACCAAGGCAACGAUGCGUAGCCGACCUGGGAGGGUGAUCGGCCACACUGGGACGGAGACACGGCCCAGACUCCUACGGGAGGCAGCAGUAGGGAAUCUUCCGCAAUGGACGAAAGUCUGACGGAGCAACGCCGCGUGAGUGAUGAAGGCUUUCGGGUCGUAAAACUCUGUUGUUAGGGAAGAACAAGUGCUAGUUGAAUAAGCUGGCACCUUGACGGUACCUAACCAGAAAGCCACGGCUAACUACGUGCCAGCCGCCGCCGUAA
rnacentral:rRNA from 1 species